UUAAGGGCAUACGAUACAGUUACAGGGAAUGUAAUGACGUUGCUAACGUAAAAUGUUAUGUUCGCGACGUCAAACUCUGACAUAUCGGGAAAAGAUGCAUUUUUCGACUGAUUUUUAUCAUUCAAACUGAUUCAAUUUGAAAACGAGUGCAUGGACCCCUAUUUUUUAAAACAGCAAUUUGUUUCAUUUUGCAAGGAGAUUAUGUGACCCAAAUUUUAUAAAACUGUAAAUAGCGC
rnacentral:lncRNA from 1 species